rnacentral:rRNA from 1 species
UGACCACGAGACCGAUAGCGAACAAGUACCGUGAGGGAAAGUUGAAAAGCACUUUGAAGAGAGAGUUCAAGAGUACGUGAAACCGUUCAGGGGUAAACCUGAGAAACCCGAAAGGUCGAAGGAGGAAAUUCAUCGCGUUUCGAUCGUCGGCGUUUGACGGGUUUCGUGACGGACGGCGUUCGCGUCGUUCGCUCAGCUCGUUUUUCGAACCGAUAUCGAACGCGUGCACUUUUCCUCUUGUAGGACGUUGCGAUCCGUUGGGUGUCGGUCUAAGGUCCGGGGUGGAGCCCACGUGAAUUUUUCGCGUGGACCCUCGGUAUCCCGGCCGACUCGCUCGACGGUAUAACGAUGGCGCGGGGCCGCUACUUUAUAAUUAGCGUUCGGCUCGUGGCAAGCGCGUCCGGUGUUUGACGGCGAUCGGACCUAGCGCCGAUCCUGUCCCCGGGCGACUGUUGGCUACGAUGUUCUCGAACAGACCUCGUUGAAACGCCGAUCUGCAACGCUAUAGCUUUGGGUACUUUCAGGACCCGUCUUGAAACACGGACCAAGGAGUCUAGCAUGUGCGCGAGUCAUUGGGACAUAACUAAACCUAAAGGCGCAAUGAAAGUAAAGGUCUACCUUGCGUAGACCGAGGGAAGAUGAGCGGUUCGCCCUCAAAGUGGCCGCUCCGCAUUCCCGGGGCGUCUCGUUCUCAUUGCGAGAAGAGGCGCACCAAGAGCGUACACGCUGGGACCCGAAAGAUGGUGAACUAUGCCUGGUCAGGACGAAGUCAGGGGAAACCCUGAUGGAGGUCCGUAGCGAUUCUGACGUGCAAAUCGAUCGUCGGAACUGGGUAUAGGGGCGAAAGACUAAUCGAACCAUCUAGUAGCUGGUUCCCUCCGAAGUUUCCCUCAGGAUAGCUGGCGCUCGUCGCGUACGAGUUUCAUCCGGUAAAGCGAAUGAUUAGAGGUAUUGGGAUCGAAACGAUCUCAACCUAUUCUCAAACUUUAAAUGGGUGAGAUCUCCGGCUUGCUCGAACUCUUAUGAAGCCGCGAGACUCGAAUCAGAGUGCCAAGUGGGCCAUUUUUGGUAAGCAGAACUGGCGCUGUGGGAUGAACCAAACGUCGAGUUAAAGCGCCUAAAUCGACGCUUAUGGGAUACCAUGAAAGGCGUUGGUAACUUAAGACAGCAGGACGGUGGCCAUGGAAGUCGGAAUCCGCCAAGGAGUGUGUAACAACUCACCUGCCGAAGUUACUAGCCCUGAAAAUGGAUGGCGCUGAAGCGUCGUGCUUAUACUCGACCGUCAGAGGCAUGUGCGGUACUCUGCCCGAUAUCUUCCCGAUUGAAGGCGACCAUGAAGCCCUGACGAGUAGGAGGGUCGCGGCGGUGAGCGCAGAAGGGCUGGCCGUGAGGCCGUCUGGAGCCGCCGUCGGUGCAGAUCUUGGUGGUAGUAGCAAAUACUCCAGCGAGGUCCUGGAGGACUGACGUGGAGAAGGGUUUCGUGUGAACAGCCGUUGCACACGAGUCAGUCGAUCCUAAGCCCUAGGCGAAAGCCGAUGUUGAUGUGGUGUAAGUUUAUAUAAUAAAAUUUAUUAUAAAAUAAAUGUUCACACCCGUCGGGCGAAAGGGAAUCCGGUUCCUAUUCCGGAACCCGGCAGCGGAACCGUCAAAAAGUCGGGCCCUCGCAAGAGAGUUCGUCGGGGCAACCCAAAAGGACCCGGAGACGCCGUCGGGAGAUCCGGGAAGAGUUUUCUUUUCUGCAUAAGCGUUCGAGUUCCAUGGAAUCCUCUAGCAGGGAGAUAUGGUUUGGAACGCGAAGAGCACCGCAGUUGCAGCGGUGUCCGGAUCUUCCCCUCGGACCUUGAAAAUCCGGGAGAGGGCCACGUGGAGGCGUCGCGCCGGUUCGUACCCAUAUCCGCAGCAGGUCUCCAAGGUGAAGAGCCUCUAGUCGAUAGAAUAAUGUAGGUAAGGGAAGUCGGCAAAUUGGAUCCGUAACUUCGGGAUAAGGAUUGGCUCUGAGGAUCGGGGCGUGUCGGGCUUGGCGAGGAAGCGGGUCGCGGCUGACGUGCCGGGCCUGUGCGAGGUGAAGUGUCAUCGCUUCACGGCGUUGAUUACGGAUCCGAGUUCGGUCCCGUGCCUUGGCCUCCCGCGGAACCGUCUUGCUGCGAGGCCCCGGUGUCGCCCGCAAGGGAGACCCGGGUGUCCUCUUCGGCCGCCAUUCAACGAUCAGCUCAGAACUGGCACGGACCGGGGGAAUCCGACUGUCUAAUUAAAACAAAGCAUUGCGAUGGCCCCAGCGGGUGAUGACGCAAUGUGAUUUCUGCCCAGUGCUCUGAAUGUCAACGUGAAGAAAUUCAAGCAAGCGCGGGUAAACGGCGGGAGUAACUAUGACUCUCUUAAGGUAGCCAAAUGCCUCGUCAUCUAAUUAGUGACGCGCAUGAAUGGAUUAACGAGAUUCCCACUGUCCCUACCCAC